CGAGGAUAAUGUGUAUUGAUAUAUACUGUAAAGACAGAAUACAUGUUUGUAAAAUUGAAGCCAUUUACAGGCCAAGUAUUUCAAAUUCUCUAAGCUAAAAUCAUACAACACAGCAGGAAUCGACGUGUAAAAAUCUUCCGUGGGGAACAAGACAUUUACCACCUUCUACGCCUCCUACCAUACCAGUAUGCAAAGGCAGCAAUUGAAGCAGCCAAAAUGACUCCAGCUGUUGCAUGCCAAACAUGUAAAGGUUUCUCUGUUACAAAAGUGGAACCCGAACUACUGCUGACAACAACAGCCUCCGAUGGCUCUGGUUUAUCACUCAAUGUCAAUGCAAAUCCUAAACCCUGCGUUUCGAGAUCAGACAAGUCCUCAAUUGCUGGUUUGAGCCUUGUGAUCUUUGCAAUAGCCUCAUACUCCUCUUUGGUUCCACCCUCUAGAAAAGACCCAACGACGUGACCUUUGUUCACCCAAUAUGCACCAAAGCUAUUCCCCAAGAAAUCCCCAAAAUGGACUACAUCACCAGUACUGUCACCAUAGAACUGCCAAGAGAGUGUGAAGACUCUGGAGUAGAAGAAUGGCAAGUAGUCAAACUCUGUUGUUUUCUCUGGUUCCAUGAUUGCAGCAACUGCAUGCCUUGCUGACUUCCUUGCAGAAUCAACGUGUUCAAGUCUCCGCGUCUCACCGAAAAUUUUGACAGGAAAAG
rnacentral:misc_RNA from 1 species